UCUCCCCUCCCCCUGCGGGGGAUCCUCUUCCUCUCCCGCUCCCCGGACCAGCCUGCGGGCAAGCCCGGGCCUCGCCCCCUCCCCACCAUGCGCCACAGCCUGACCCAGCUGCUGGCGGCCUCGUCGGGCGGAGAAAGCCCCUCGGCCGCCGCCUGGCAGCUCCCCAGCGCGGGGCCGGCCCCUGGGGCCGGAGGAGGCGAUGGCGGGGAGGAGGAGCCGGAGGGCCCCCGCACCAAGCAGCAGCGCUGGGACCCGGCCGUCCUGGAGCAGCCGCAGCAGGCGAUGGGGGAGGCGGCCGCUGGGGCCGAGGAGCCGGCGGAGCAGGAGGACCCGUUCGCGGGGCUGGAGCUGGGCGACCUGCUGGAGGCGGCCCAGCCGCACUGGGACCUGGACGUGGAGCCGAGCGGCUGCUUCUGCGGGCAGCAGGACGAGCCGGAGCCGCCCCUGAGCGCGCCGGGCCGGAGGAGCUGCGGGGCCAGCCCGGGCGGGGUGGCGGCCGGGAGCCGGCUGAAGGCAGCGGCCGCGGCCCGCCUGAACCGGCUGAAGAAGAAGCAGUACGUGCUGGGGCUGGAGAGCCGCCUGCAGGGCCUGGCCGCUGAGAACCGGCAGCUGCGAGACCGCAACCGGGGGCUGAACCGGCGCCUGCGGGAUCUGGAGCGGGAGACCAGCUACCUGCGGGCCGUGCUGGCCAACCAGAGCGCCCUGGGGCAGCUGCUGAGCCGCCUGGCCGGGGCGGGGGGGCUCCGGUUCCGUACCAGCCUCUUCAGGGACACGGACCCGCCCCAUCAGCACCCGCCACAGGCCGGCGAGAGCCGCGACCACGACUACGCCCUGCCGAGCCGGGAUGCUGGGGAGCCGGAGGGGGAGGAGCGGCCGGCCUCCGGCGGGAUCUGCCUCCACGUGGACAGGGAUCAGCUGUCGGUGGAGUUCUGCUCCCUGUGUGCCAGGCGGGCAUGUGCCUCCUUCAAAAUUUUCUUUUUUAGGUGCUUGCCCUGCCAGGCUCCGUUGUGUAGGGGUUAAAGAACAGUCGUUUUCCACCUCGCAACCUGUGGAUACAGCUCUGUUGGGGCAGAAGAGACGGGACCAGCUGCUGGCCACAUUUCCUGCUUUAUUUUAAAAGCUUAGCAGCAUCUGGGGGAAAAACAAUUCAAUUUUUCUGCAACCUGUAACUGCCUGGAGAGAUGGUAUCAAAGUAAUUAUGGGGAGCCAUGUCACAGAUUUUGGCAUCUACUGAUGUAUCUGAGUUACCAAUUUUUUUUUUUUUUUUUUUCACUUGCCAAAAAUGGAGAGUCCUAGUGUUUCCUUUGAAAUUUUGAGGGACUUAUUUUUAAAAAAACAGCAAAGGCUUUUCAUAUAAAACUUACAUAAAAUUACCCAAUUUUAAAAACCUUGACUAAUAUGUUUUGGGAAUUGUAUAUUUGGAUAUGGUAUCUUCUGCAUGAAGGAAGGUAUUGUAAUACUUUGUAUGCAGCCUAUUAUACUUGCCUCUAUUAUUUAUUUAGACUUACAAAAGCCACAGUAGGUGUACAUCAUAUGCCCUUGGUGUCCAAAUGGAUAUUUUGUAUUCAGAAAGUUUUUUUUGUAGUUUUACACACGGAAAAAAGUACCUCACCAGUGGUGGGUGAGGUACUCUUCUCUCCCACCCUGUUGGGAUAACAGAGUGCCAGGGAUGGGGCUUUCUUGGGAGGUGUGCCUGUUCUGGGCUUGGGAGAAAUCAAGAAGAGGAGGAAGUAUCUAUUGCCAGGGGGAUUAGGAGCAAGGGGAGAAGAAAGCUGCUCCUGGUUGUGACGGGUGAAGUAAUGUUUUAUAGCACUGUUCAUAAAACGGAGAGCUCUGUUAAGCUGCAGGCUUCUCCUCCAUUCCUUUCCCCUAAUAACAACCCUCCCUCCCAUAAUCUGAAUCACCAUCAUUCUGGCAGAAGAUUAGACCUUGACUACCUUCAGAAUCCAUCUACAUUGCUUCUUAAUUGGACAGUAGAUUUCUCCUUUAAAAUGCAGUGAAAGCUACUGCAGUGAUAAUGUGUUUUUUGUGUGUAACCUGUUUUUGCCAUGAUGGUAAGAAUCUCUACAGAUAAGGAUGCAACUAAAAAUAGACCAUACCUGUAACUGCUGACUUGGGAUUUUGAACACCUUUUUCUUGCUUACUUUUCCAUUUACAGUAUGUAAUAUAGAUACUACUUUUCAUAGUAUUCCUACAAUUUGUGUGAUGGUAGCUGCUACUAGAAGUUGUGUAACUCAACCACUUUGGGGAAAAAAAUU